CGGUAAGCUUUAACAUGCAAGUCGAACGGCAGCACGGACUUCGGUCUGGUGGCGAGUGGCGAACGGGUGAGUAAUACAUCGGAACGUGCCCAAUCGUGGGGGAUAACGUAGCGAAAGCUACGCUAAUACCGCAUACGAUCUAAGGAUGAAAGCGGGGGAUCGCAAGACCUCGCGCGAAUGGAGCGGCCGAUGGCAGAUUAGGUAGUUGGUAGGGUAAAGGCCUACCAAGCCGACGAUCUGUAGCUGGUCUGAGAGGAUGAUCAGCCACACUGGGACUGAGACACGGCCCAGACUCCUACGGGAGGCAGCAGUGGGGAAUUUUGGACAAUGGACGCAAGUCUGAUCCAGCCAUUCCGCGUGCAGGAUGAAGGCCCUCGGGUUGUAAACUGCUUUUGUACAGAACGAAAAGGCUCUGGUUAAUACCUGGGGCUCAUGACGGUACUGUAAGAAUAAGCACCGGCUAACUACGUGCCAGCAGCCGCGGUAAUACGUAGGGUGCAAGCGUUAAUCGGAAUUACUGGGCGUAAAGCGUGCGCAGGCGGUGAUGUAAGACAGAGGUGAAAUCCCCGGGCUCAACCUGGGAACUGCCUUUGUGACUGCAUCGCUGGAGUACGGCAGAGGGGGAUGGAAUUCCGCGUGUAGCAGUGAAAUGCGUAGAUAUGCGGAGGACACCGAUGGCGAGCAUCCCCUGGGCCUGUACUGACGCUCAUGCACGAAGCGGUGGGGGAGCAAACAGGAUUAGAUACCCUGUAGUCCACGCCCUAAACGAUUUCACUGAUGUUGGGUCUUC
rnacentral:rRNA from 1 species